rnacentral:rRNA from 1 species
AUCUCUGCAAUAGGCGAAAGCUUGACAGGGUUACUCUGAGUGAUUCCCGCUAAGGGGAUCUUUUGGCACCUUUAAAAAUGGUGCAGAAUAAGGGGUGGGCAAGUCUGGUGUCAGCCGCCGCGGUAAUACCAGCACCCCGAGUGGUCGGGACGAUUAUUGGGCCUAAAGCAUCCGUAGCCGGUACUGCAAGUCUUCCGUUAAAUCCACCUGCUUAACAGUUGGGCUGCGGGGGAUACUACAGCGCUAGGAGGCGGGAGAGGCAAGCGGUACUCAAUGGGUAGGGGUAAAAUCCGCUGAUCCAUUGAAGACCACCAGUGGCGAAGGCGGCUUGCCAGAACGCGCUCGACGGUGAGGGAUGAAAGCUGGGGGAGCAAACCGGAUUAGAUACCCGGGUAGUCCCAGCUGUAAACGAUGCAGACUCGGUGAUGGGUUGGCCUUGUGCCAACCCAGUGCCGCAGGGAAGCCGUUAAGUCUGCCGCCUGGGGAGUACGGUCGCAAGACUGAAACUUAA